AUGUCUUCUACAUGCUUAGAUAUGCCACCUAUUUAUGAUGAAUAUGAUGAUGAGCAUGUUGAUUUGCCUAACUGUGAUACCAUGCUCCAUAGGAUAUCUUGUGAAAAUUCUAGAGGUCACAUCAUGUUUGACAAUCCAUUAAACUUGUCAUAUGCUAUGGGUGAGAUUUCCCAUAAUUGUUUGCAUCAUAUGCAUACCAUUCAUGACAAUGCUCUAGAUAUCACUAGUGAUGCUUUCCACAAUUUGAGUCUCCAUUAUGCUCUACAUAAUAACAAACCUCUCAUGAUGGAUGACAUGUUUCUAUAUCACGCAUCUCAUUUAUUUGAGCAUUGGCUAUUUUGUGCAAACCAACACACGCACGUGCGCAUCAUAAGGGAUGAUGUGUACAUAUACCACGCACACACAACUUUCCCUUUGUCUUUGUUGUGUGUAGGUACUCACGUAUACUCGUCAACGUCUCAAUCCCACGAGUUGAUGAAACGAGCUAUUGAGAGCAACGACGAUUUGGGAUUCCUGGGAUUAUCCUUACCAACGUUCCCAUCGCGCAAGGACUACGCGCUUCUCUUUUACUUGGCUCUCACACGGCUAUGGGCUAUCUACCACUUGUCACCUUAUGCCCAUACUAUCGUGUUCCAUUUGCAUGUUAUGCCUCUUUACAUGACUUUGCCAUGCAAUUGUGACCUUUGCUUGCAUUUACCCAUGAUGCACCAUUAUGAUAUUCUUAUGUGUAUUUGCAUGCUUGGUGGAGAGUAUUGUUGCUUUUGCCAUGUUUAUCAUGUGCCUCAUGCUAUUGUUAAUUCUUGUGUUGGGAGAGUCAUGAUGUAA
rnacentral:rRNA from 1 species